ACUCCUAAAAACACAUCUACUAGGCUUAUAUGCCCAAUCUGUAUAGUAGCUAGCUUCAUCUUAAUUCAGUCUCAACAUUGGUAACAAUAUUUAAAAAUAGCACAAAUAGGCCCUCCAAACACCAUGCCGGUUGGGCUCUCUUUCCUACCGAGUUAGAUGACAACCAUUACAGGGUAAAUUGGUCAUAUAAUUUCAUUCCACACAAUAUGUGAUAGGGCAUCUCCUCAGUUUAAACCGUUCUAUAUAUAAGUUCUUCUACUUGUUUUCUUGACUUACAACAUUCUUUUCAUAUAAUUUCAUUCCACAGAAUAUGUGACAGGGCACCUGCUCAGUUUAAACUGUUCUAUAUAUAAGCUCUUAUACUUGUUUUCUUGACCUGCAACAUUUUCUUCAUUCUCUUAACAUGAAACUCUCUCCGCAUAUGGUCUAUUGGACACUAUAUUUUUCAUGUGAUUCGGUAUUACCUAUCAAAGUCAUGUGAUCACUAAUCAGCGUCGUGGCGCACAUCUGCUAGCCUUUGAUUUUGGUCUGUCGCCCAUGCCAUGUAUUUUACAUGUUCAUCUAUUUGGGCAUUAGUGACACCGGUAGUUAGUAGCCGUGUUAAUCAAAAUUCUAGAAAAGUGUUACAUUAAAACUGGUACGUAAACCACCUUAUGCUAAUAUUAGUGCUACACAAACUCCAGAAUGGCUUACUGAUGGUGAAUUUCGUGGUGCAUCACGGGUCGAACCUCCAGGAUUUUGUGGCCAUAUUAUGUUGUCUGCAAUGUUGUAAUUCAGAUGCCUUGAUUAAUACACAUGUGAAUGGGGGUGCUAAACCAGUCAUUCCCCUUUGAAAACCGAUGUUGCCUUGCAUACAUAUGUAUUUUGCUGGUCUCGAAUCGGAGACCGCUGAUAGUAUGCUAUUUGGUGCUAUGUUAUUUCAAAUGUUGAUAAAAUUCUAUAUUUUGCAUGAUUAGUUCAACCUAUUGUUUCUUGCAGAUGAGAAGGAUCGGCAAAAAAGUUUGAGCCUCCUCUUAGAAGGUUCAAAACGGGACGGGGGCAAGAUAGCUCUAGGAAAGUUGGUGCGGACGGCUACGAAGUGGAGCCUAGAAGUGGCGAAUUUUCUUAAUACCGCUACAUUAAUCACCUAAAAUUGGCAAUAGUGACAACCUAGAGGAAGAUGAUACCACUGGAAGUGAUGUGCCGGUGGAUGAUAUGGACGAAUACAACUAGAAUAUUGCCAAGCCUAUUAUUGCAUCAAGGGCAAGACUUAUUACCGAUGCUCAGCGCAAAGUCGAAUAUAUGCUCAAGGAAAUAUGGGUGCCUCCUCCAACGCUACCCAUAUCCAUUUGUCAAUGAUGACUCUGCUUGAUGUCGCCGCAUACCAGCAGAAGAUAAAGCUCAACCAUAGAUUGGAAGACCGGGGCUAUAUAGAUUGAUGUCUAAAACCAAUGCAGAUCACCCUGCUGAAGAAGGAGAGGAAGUUAGAAAUCAGUUUCAGUUUUACAGGUGCAAAAUCAACUCAUUCCACUGUAAUACUGGACAUCCAGAUGUCCAGGAUGGUUAUUGUACAUGGAGAAUCAGGAUGGAUUAGAAUGGAUUAUUUAUUACCUUGGUGACAACGUCGGGUGGGCGUUGAAUCGUGGACAUGUCCCCUAUGAAUCCAGGCGGCUGGGUGAACAGAUGGACCAAGCUCCCUCCUCCGCCCAAGAAGCAACCGGGGAAAGCAGCACCGACGGCCGGAACCUCCUCCGCCCAAGAAGCAGCCGGGGAAAGCAGCACCGACGGCCGGAACCUCCUCCACCCAAGAAGCAGCCGGGGAAAGCAGCACCGACGGCCAGAACCUCCUCCGCCCAAGAAGCAGCCGGGGAAAGCAGCACCGAUGGCCGGAACCUCCUCGCCCAAGACGGCCAGAACAACACUACGGCGGAUCCAAAUCGCCAGUCUCCUCUGUCCAGAGCUGAACUGAGUGGCUACCCCCAUGAGAGGAUACGCGCACAGCCAAACCCACACACACCAGACACGCGUGGCAUGGUGGCUUAUCCGGUGGGAGACUACCACUUGCUCACGUUGAACCAUUGUGGCCCACAGCCCCCCGUGAACGUUGUAUCCCACUGCCACUUGCACCUAUAUACGUUGUGGCCCACCGGGAAAAUGCAUAUAUGAGCGCUCGUAGGUGCUAGCCAUCUAUUCCAAGGGGAGAAAAAAAUCUACUCCCAAGGAGUAUUUAUUUUCUUUUUAAAGGAUCUAUUAUUCUCAGGUACUCCUUUCGUCUCAUAAUAUAAAAUACUUUUUGACA